rnacentral:rRNA from 1 species
GGAGGAAAGUAGGGGAUCGCAAGACCUUGCGCUCUUGGAGCGGCCGAUGCCUGAUUAGCUAGUUGGUGAGGUAAAGGCUUACCAAGGCGACGAUCAGUAGCUGGUCUGAGAGGACGACCAGCCACACUGGGACUGAGACACGGCCCAGACUCCUACGGGAGGCAGCAGUGGGGAAUUUUGGACAAUGGGGGGAACCCUGAUCCAGCCAUGCCGCGUGAGUGAAGAAGGCCUUCGGGUUGUAAAGCUCUUUCAGCCGGAACGAAACGGUCACGGCUAAUACCUGUGACUACUGACGGUACCGGAAGAAGAAGCACCGGCUAACUACGUGCCAGCAGCCGCGGUAAUACGUAGGGUGCAAGCGUUAAUCGGAAUUACUGGGCGUAAAGCGUGCGCAGGCGGUUUUGUAAGUCAGAUGUGAAAUCCCCGGGCUUAACCUGGGAACUGCGUUUGAAACUACCAAAGCUAG